rnacentral:rRNA from 1 species
AUUGAACGCUGGCGGCAGGCCUAACACAUGCAAGUCGAACGAGUGGCGGACGGGUGAGUAAUGUCUGGGAAACUGCCUGAUGGAGGGGGAUAACUACUGGCAACGGUAGCUAAUACCGCAUACCAUCGGAUGUGCCCAGAUGGGAUUAGAUAGUAGGUGGGGUAAUGGCUCACCUAGGCGACGAUCCCUAGCUGGUCUGAGAGGCUGAACAGCCCCACUGGAACUGAGACACGGUCCAGACUCCUACGGGAUGCAGCAGUGGGUAAUAUUUCACAAUGGGCGCAAGCCUGAUGCAGCCAUGCCGCGUGUGUGAAGAAGGCCUUCGUGUUGUAAAGCACUUUCAGCGAGGAGGCGUUACUCGCAGAAGAAGCACCGGCUAACUCCGUGCCAGCAGCCGCGGUAAUUC